rnacentral:lncRNA from 1 species
AUGCCCAGAGCAGCUGGGGCUGCCCCUGCAUCCCUGCAGUGUCCAAGACCGGGCUGGACAGAGCUUGGAACAAAAUGGGAUAGUGAAAGGUAUCCCUGCCCAUGGCAGGGGUGGGACUGUGUGAGCUUUAAGAUCCAUCCAACACAGCACAACACAGCACAACACAACACAACACAACACAACACAACACAACACAACACAAAACAUUCUGUGAUGUUAUUGUCCUGCUAUCACUCCUGCUCUGUGGCUCUCCAGCAUUUCAAGCUGUUGUGUCUCUUUGCUUUAGGAAGACGUGACGACUUGCCGUCCCCAGUAACCAACACACUGCAGGCUGAAGCAGACAGGCUCGACUCUGCAAGAGGACAAGUUCAUCCCAGGUUUCCCUGUUGCCCUUUGCCACUACCCAAAAGAGGAUGGAGCUCGGCGAGAUCGUUGUGACUAAACAUCCCAAUGACAGGGAGCUGUACAAGAAGGAGAUGCCAAGAGCUCAGGACCUGCUGUGGAGAAGUGGAAACUGGAUCCUCCAUGGUUUUGGUUAUCUCACAGGAGAAAUGAAAGAAUAUGGAGAGUGGAUAAAAAGUAAGAAGGAGGGUGUGUUUGGGGAUAUCCAUAUUGCCAGCAGUACCUCCAGUGAAGUGUGUUUCACCCCC